AGCCUGAUCCAGCCAUACCGCGUGGGUGAAGAAGGCCUUCGGGUUGUAAAGCCCUUUUGUWGGGAAAGAAAUCCURUCGGUUAAUAACCGGUGGGGAUGACGGUACCCAAAGAAUAAGCACCGGCUAACUUCGUGCCAGCAGCCGCGGUAAUACGAAGGGUGCAAGCGUUACUCGGAAUUACUGGGCGUAAAGCGUGCGUAGGUGGUGGUUUAAGUCYGYUGUGAAAGCCCUGGGCUCAACCUGGGAAUUGCAGUGGAUACUGGAUCACUAGAGUGUGGUAGAGGGAUGCGGAAUUUCUGGUGUAGCAGUGAAAUGCGUAGAGAUCAGAAGGAACAUCCGUGGCGAAGGCGGCAUCCUGGGCCAACACUGACACUGAGGCACGAAAGCGUGGGGAGCAAACAGGAUUAGAUACCCUGGUAGUCCACGCCCUAAACGAUGCGAACUGGAUGUUGGGUGCAACUUGGCACCCAGUAUCGAAGCUAACGCGUUAAGUUCGCCGCCUGGGGAGUACGGUCGCAAGACUGAAACUCAAAGGAAUUGACGG
rnacentral:rRNA from 1 species